UACAGAGGUCCCAAGCGUUGUUCGGAUUCAUUGGGCGUAAAGGGUGCGUAGGUGGCGUCGUAAGUCAGGUGUGAAAUCUCGGAGCUUAACUCCGAAACUGCAUUUGAUACUGCGGUGCUUGAGGACUGGAGAGGAGACUGGAAUUUACGGUGUAGCAGUGAAAUGCGUAGAGAUCGUAAGGAAGACCAGUGGCGAAGGCGGGUCUCUGGACAGUUCCUGACGCUGAGGCACGAAAGCGUGGGUAGCGAACAGG
rnacentral:rRNA from 1 species